ACAGUGGGUACUGAGUAUGACAGCCAACAAUUUCCUUUGAGACUUUCUCGAGUAACCUGGUGGUUCUUGUGUUUUUUCUAAGGAUACUUAUUGGAGCGUGGAACUUGCUUUUUGCUGGAGCUUAAGGACUCAUGUAUUUGGAUUCCCCUCCUAGAGACUCUCACCUGGAAACCAACCAUCUUCCGUUCUGCCACACUCUCUCUCCCACGGACCUGGAACACAAACGGACAGUCAGUCAGUCAUUUUCUACCGCUUAUUCCAUAGUGGGUCGCAGGGAAGCUGGUGUCUAUCUCCAGCAAUCUAUGGGCGAGAAGCAGGGUACACCCUGGACAGGCACAAAUGGAAACCUAAACCUAAAACACUUACCUCCUGGACUUCCUUUGCCUCCUCCUCCGAGCUGAUCUCCCUCCCAAGAGCCUGACAAACCCAUUGCCUGACAUUCACUGUAAAUAAACAUCAUUAAACUUUC